CACUCCCGACGCCCUCCUCAGCAAGCGCGGUUCUAAUUGGUUCCCGGGGAGGCAAGGGGCGUGGUUUGGCCGUGUGUGGGUCAUUAGGAGGGCGGGCGAUGUGCGAAACGCUGCGUGGGGCUGUGUGUGCGUGUGAGGGAGUUGAUGGUUGUGCCUCACGUGGCGGUGGUUGCUGAGGCUUUGGCGCGAGACUCAUUAAGCUUCACUCACAGACAGUGGCUGGGCUCGGGGGAUUGGCUCAGGCCCUCGGUUUUCUGAGUGCAGCCACAAAACGUAGUGCCCUGUUCAUGAGAAAUAAAAGAGCCGAUGGAGCCGCUCUGUGAGGCGCGCGGCAGCAGCCUGGGGGUUCGCCCCGCGCUCUCGCUCCCCCGCUCCCCUCGGCGCGCGCUUCCCGCCGCCCUCAGCAGAACCGUCCGUCAGCGGGGCCGCCUUCAGCAGCGCCGUCCCUCAGCACAACUGCGCCUCGGCGGGCCGCCCCCACAGCGGCUGUCCCUCAGCACAGCGUCCGCCGCCGCGUUGCUCCGGCCCCGCCUACCGGCUUGGGGCCGCAUCGCAGCGCCGUGUGGGGACGGCGGCGGGCCGUGUGCGCUGUCUGAGCGGUACGUGGUGCUCGCGGCGCUAUUUUAUUAUUUUAGUAGGUCUGUUUUGUAGUACCGAGAUCCGCAGUCACGGUCGCUAGGUCCGUACCGCUGCCUCCCGGGAUGCUGCGGGAACUGAGUUAAAAUUUCCCGAGAUAAGAGCUUUUCAAGUUUAAACGCCGCGAUUGGCGACCCGUCCCGGGGCUGCGCGUUACCGCCAGCUUUCAGCCGCCGAGCUCCGUGCCGAUGCCCUGCGCUCCGCUCCCGCUGGUGCCACCUGCCGCCCGGCUGCUGCCUUGCAGCUCCGCCGCGCCGAGCCGAGCCGUCCGUACGGCGUAACGCCGCCUCCCGUGUUUCGCUGUUCGUCGGUUUGUUUUGCUUGGAAAGUUGGUCGUCAGAUAAAAGCAGCUUGAUUUGAUUAAAGACAAGCUAUCUUUGUCGUGUCAGAAGUCAUUCGUCUUCCCAAGAUGAUUAUUCAAAGGAUUUUGAAGAUCUGAAUAGUGUACCACCCUCCUGCCCUUCAAACUGCACAUCAGUCUGCUGCUCUCUGUGCCACCCGUGAGUUUGUAGAGGAGGGAAAAGAGGAGCCUUGGUGAGAGGGAAGUUCUGUGUCCCAUGGUGGCAGCUGCACUGUGUCUUGCUGGUUUGAGAGCUACUGAAGGAAGGAAAAGCACGAUUCUACUUAGCAGCCAUUUCACCAGGAAUUUGGGGAUUGAACACAACAGAGGGCCCUGAAGAGGCUAAAGCUGCUCUCUCUCCCAAGCAGAGCGUAUCAAAAUACUGCAGGAGGACUGAUCUCAGUGGUUGCUGCAGCCUAAUGAGGGUGAGGGAAAUUCUACCUUAGUUUUGCCUCUUAUUUCCAUACAGACAAAUUUCCAGCACAGGAAAAAAAAAGUGUGCUGUUCCUUUUACCUGUAUUUGUUUUUAUUCUAUUGCUUCACCAGCUGGCACUUAGUGAUGGGCAGGGGAGCCUCAUGCCAGGAUGGGCAUCCCAUCACCUGCACGCUGCCACCCUGCUCUGGGAUAAAAGUCUUGCUAUAGGUAAAGGCUUCUUCACGAUAUGUAUGUAUGAAGUAAUCUCUCAGUUGCAAGAGUAGCUCUCCAUUGGUGCAGUUUUGCUUGAGUAUAUUUUUUAAGCCCUGCUUUGUGAAACUAGUUAUGGUGUUACUUAAAGCAAAGCGCUCAGCAGCUCACAGGACCUCCUCACUGGGCACACCACAUCCUCUGGCUCUUAUGAUCUCGAUGGCAAGAGAUAAACAUGAGAGAAAGGCCCAAGGAAACAGGAGGUUGUGGGUGGUGACUGAAGGUACUCCCUUAGUUCUCUUCUUGAUAACAGUAAAAAAAAAAAACAGCAAUAAUAACAAAGCAAGCGGAUGGUAAAACAAAUGACACACUGCUCCUUAUCAGCUAGACAGUCAGUGGCGGGAGUGCCACGUCUCCACUGAGAUAUACAGUCUCAUAACCAGAGCUGUGCCAUACUGCUGUGGUGCUGGAGGGUCGUGGUGCUGGGCCACAUGCUGCCAGCUCAGGUAUGUAUUAAUGUCUGGAUGGAUGCUUGCAUCUGGAAAGCACUCCUCAUAUAGGUUGUAUGAGGCUUCCUGGGAUAUGAAAAGCAAACAGAAGCACCACUGUGUUGCUUUACAUCAGUUUUAUUUUAUUUAGUAGCAAUUUCUUAUGCAGUUCAGUGCAAGCAAGCAAUUGAAUAGUUUAUUAACAUCUGCUUGGGUCUUCAGUCUGACUUCUGGAGGAAAGAGUAGUGCUCGUCUGUGUGAUUUGUGUAAUGUAAUUAGAUGUGCUGAGGCAAGACAAACGUACAGAUGGGAUGAGUGGAAGUAGAAAUUAUUGGAAAUGUAUCUGCUGCCUCUUGUGAGCUUCACUGAAACUGCAGCAGCGUAUAGUGUGUUUCCUAUGGAAGCUGUGAGAUUCCAAUCUUCAUCUUUCACUGUGCGCUGUUAAGUCCUUGCUUUAAACCUUACUGAAAUUUUUGCCACUGACAGCUGUAUAGAAUGGUCUGAUCCAGACACAGGCUGUGGACAGAAGGAGUCGGUCUGCCAGAGGUUGAGCACAGUCUGUGUGUUAUAGGUUGGCACUUCUUAGUGACAGAAACCCUUCUUCUGGCAAAAGUUCCAAGCAGCAAAGCUCAGAGGUAGUAAAUAACUAAGGCUUUGCUUCUGUCUGGCUCAGCAGACUCAGUUUGCAAACAUGGAUGUCUUAGGAGUUGGCUCUUGCUGUGUAUCUGAGUACAAAGAAGGCAAGUUGUGUUUCAGGAGGGAGAUGCUGCUUUGGAGAUGUGGCUUUAAGACUGAGUUGCAGUGAAAGAAAAAUACAAGCCUUGCAUGUCUUUCUUUUGGUUCUUUUAGCAGAAGGGAGAAGGUUUUUAUUAGUGCUGUUUUCAGAGAAAAAAUAAAAUUGCCUGUUUUGAGUCCAUAUUUCAGGGAGGAUUUGGGAAUAUACUGGGAGCCUAUUAAAGCCUGCAGAGUUGAGCUUUGGCUGUGAGAACAAGCCUUGUGCUGUUAAGUUUUAAGAGAUUGAUUUUUCUCAUUGGAAGAUGACUGGAUGCGAUACGAGUGCCCAGAUACAUUGGCAGAAGAGACACAUCUAAUAACUGGAAAGCUUCUUACCCCAGCUGACAAGGGUGUGACAUGCUCCGGGUUACAGGCUUUUACCAGCAAAUUGACAACUCUUUUUUAUAAGUCCUUGUGGGGACUUGCUGAAACCACCAUUGAUACGUUGAUUCCUCUCUUGCUUUCUCUAUAGGCUAGGGCCCAGGGAGUUAACUGCUUGACAGAAAUCAUCCAGAUGAGUGGACAGAGCAGAAAAUCCAAUGAUUCGGACUUAUGUGUGGCAAUAGCUGGUGUGGUGCAAUUAAUUCCCCAUUGGUUAGCAGUCACAGCUUGUGACAGCACAGCCUGCGUCUCCCUGCCUCUCCUAUCUGGUGUUUCUCCUCCUCACCUGAGCUUAGUGAACAGUUGGUUCCAUUUAUUGUCUCCUGCAGCACUGAACCUUUCCUUCAAAAUGGUGCUUUGUAUCUAGAAUCCAUCCAUGGAUCAAUGUAAACUAAUUUCUUUGUUUCUGUGAUCUAAAUAAAUGCUUUUGUAAUUUAGUAACAGCAUCUAACAGCUGGGAGGGGAAAAAUAAAGGACGGUGUAACAAAGCAGUGUAAGGCAAUGAAAUAUUGAACUGGUCAAUAAAAGGUGGGUGAGCAGUUAAAGGUAGGGGAUAGAGAUGCAACUAGAGGCUUCGAGCACUGGAUCAGAAGCACAGUGUGACUGCUGGAAAGUCCAGCAGUUAUAAGUACUGUUGUUCUAUGCCUUUCCAUACAAAUCCUAAAGGAAAUGAUGGAUUUAUAGGGACCUCCAUCUGGAAAUUAAUUUUACCUUAAAAUUGAAGGUUUCAGGUUCUCAAAAACAUUUCUCUCCUCCAUAGCUAGCUUGGAUCCCAAAAAGGGUUGGGUGUGGCUGAGACUGCUGGUUUUGAGACGAAGCAUCCCAAGAGCAGAGCCAUGGGCAGUGUGGCACAAUGGGGUUUGGAUGCUUAUGGCUGUCCAGGCAUCACUGCAUGACAGAGCUUCAGCUGGCUCCUAGUGGGGUAAGUCCACUGCCAAAAUGGCUCUUGUCACUCUUGUCCAGUGUGAUGGCGAGGGGCCAUGGCCAGCAUCUUUGUGCUGGCACUUAUUGUCCUCAGGGAGGGAGUGAGCUGAAACCCACAACAGUGUUUGUAUGAGGGCAGACAGUGUGAGCUGAUAGCAGGAGUUUGGCAUAGUGUGACUUUAGCAGAUCUUGUUCACGUGUUUGACUAAUACUCAACUUGAGUCUGAUCAAGAUUAUGGGGGGGAACAUCUUGAUUCUUCAUGAACCUUGUUUGCUGGAUUUGUGGGAGUACGUAUGCACACUGAUGUACAAGGAGGGUGGGUCCUGUUUUACCUGUGCUGUUCCAUUUGUUCAUGCACAAGCUUUUAAAAUGGGCAUCAUCUUGAUAAGAACCAAGAAUAGAUGGCUGUCUGCUUUUGUCUUAUGAUAUCUUUAUGCACUUUUUAACAUGCUGUGUAGGUUCCUGGGUUUAAUUUGGAAUUACAUAGAACGUGGUAGAACAGUCUUGUCCGAGACACCAGUAUCAUUCAUCUGCAUGAAAAUUUCUUCUUAACAGCCUUGAAUGUAUUUCUGAACCAGAAAGUCUGUGAGGUGGUGGGAGGCAUUUGGGCAGGCUCAUGAUGGAGCUGCCCAGAAACACUACCAAAUUAUUUGCUCCACAUAACUUUGAUUUUGCACCCAACAACAGUAAUGAUAGGAAACUGUAAUUUACAUUGAUUUCCUACAUAUUUAAUUUCCUACAUAUUUAGUGUGUUUUAAAGUUGCUCUGCAGAAAAGCAUCAAUCUUUUUAAGCAGUUAUGGAUCCUGGCUGCUUCAAUGCAAGGUACCUAGUGAUCUCUUUGUAAAUUUCUUUCGCUAUUAAUAGUAAUUAGAAUGUAGUAAGUGGUUUAGUAAAAGCUAUUUGGAAGCCAAAUUUUCUAGGGAAUUCUUGUGGUUUCACAGUAUCAUUAUUAAUGGACUGAAUUUCAAAUAAAUUCAAAUUUGAUUAAUAUUCAGCAACCUGAAGUUUGUGAACAUCAAUUCUGGUGUGCCUGCU